UAAUGUCGACUGCUCCUGCACCAUCUUCGCCGCCGGCGGGUAACGCCACCGCACCACCACCAGCAACACCUACUGCACCACCACCUGCAACACCUUCAUCACCACCACCUGCAACACCUUCAUCACCACCUCCGGCAACACCUUCAUCACCUCCGCCGUCAACUCCGGCGAAUCCACCACCGGUCACCCCAUCUGCUCCGCCUCCUUCUACCCCGGCAACACCUUCAUCACCACCUCCGUCGACGACUCCAUCAGCACCACCACCAUCAACACCUUCAAAUUCACCAC
rnacentral:lncRNA from 1 species